GGAGAUUUAGCUCAGUGGUAGAGCGCUUACCUAGCAAGCACAAGGCCCUGGGUUCGGUCCCCAGCUCCG
rnacentral:tRNA from 1 species